rnacentral:rRNA from 1 species
ACUCAAAGGAAUAGACGGGAGCCCGCACAAGCAGUGGAGUAUGUUGUUUAAUUCGACGCAACGCGAAGAACCUUACCAGGUCUUGACAUCUGCGGAACCCUUCGUAAUGGGAGGGGUGCCCUUCGGGGAGCCGCAAGACAGGUAGUGCAUGGUUGUCGUCAGCUCGUGUCGUGAGAUGUUGGGUUAAGUCCCGCAACGAGCGCAACCCUUACGAAUAGUUGCCAGCUAGCAAUAGAGGCACUCUAUUCGGACUGCCGUUGACAAAACGGAGGAAGGUGGGGAUGAUGUCAAAUCAUCAUGCUCUUUAUGAUCGGGGCCACAAACGUACUACAAUGGCGCGAACAACGGGGAGCGAAGGCGCGAGCCGGAGCAAAUCCCGAAAACGCGUCCCAGUUCAGAUUGCAGGCUGCAACUCGCCUGCAUGAAGUCGGAAUUGCUAGUAAUCGCGGAUCAGCAUGCCGCGGUGAAUACGUUCCCGGGCUUUGUACACACCGCCCGU